UACGUAGGUGGCAAGCGUUGUCCGGAUUUACUGGGCGUAAAGGAUGCGUAGGCGGACAUUUAAGUCAGAUGUGAAAUACCCGAGCUUAACUUGGGUGCUGCAUUUGAAACUGGGUGUCUAGAGUGCAGGAGAGGUAAGUGGAAUUCCUAGUGUAGCGGUGAAAUGCGUAGAGAUUAGGAAGAACACCAGUGGCGAAGGCGGCUUUCUGGUCUGUAACUGACGCUGAGGCGCGAAAGCGUGGGGAGCAAACGGG
rnacentral:rRNA from 1 species